UGGGGAAUCUUGGACAAUGGGCGCAAGCCUGAUCCAGCCAUGCCGCGUGAGUGAAGAAGGCCUUAGGGUUGUAAAGCUCUUUUGGCAGGGACGAUAAUGACGGUACCUGCAGAAUAAGCCCCGGCAAACUUCGUGCCAGCAGCCGCGGUAAUACGAAGGGGGCUAGCGUUGUUCGGAUUUACUGGGCGUAAAGCGCACGUAGGCGGAUUGUUAAGUCAGGGGUGAAAUCCCGGAGCUCAACUCCGGAACUGCCUUUGAUACUGGCAAUCUUGAGGCUGGAAGAGGUUGGUAGAAUUCCCAGUGUAGAGGUGAAAUUCGUAGAUAUUGGGAAGAAUACCAGUGGCGAAGGCGGCCAACUGGUCCAGAUCUGACGCUGAGGUGCGAUAGCGUGGGGAGCAAACA
rnacentral:rRNA from 1 species